rnacentral:rRNA from 1 species
CAGAGGUCCCAAGCGUUGUUCGGAUUCACUGGGCGUAAAGGGUGCGUAGGCGGUCGGGUAAGUCUGAUGUGAAAUCUCAGAGCUCAACUCUGAAACUGCAUUGGAUACUAUUCGGCUUGAGGUCUGAGGGGGGACUGGAAUUCUCGGUGUAGCAGUGAAAUGCGUAGAUAUCGAGAGGAACACCAGUGGCGAAGGCGAGUCCCUGGACAGGUCCUGACGCUGAGGCACGAAAGCUAGGGGAGCAAACAGGAUUAGAUACCCUGGUAGUCCUAGCCGUAAACGGUGCGUAUUUGCUGUAAAAGGAAUCGACCCCUUUUGUGGCGUAGCAAACGCGUUAAAUACGCCGCCUGGGAAGUACGGUCGCAAGAUUA